GAUAAACGCUGGCGGCGUGCCUAAUGCAUGCAAGUCGAACGGAGUGGCAAACGGGUGAGUAACACGUGGGAAUCUACCCUGGUGUGGGGAACAACUCUCUGAAAGGAGAGCUAAUACCGCAUACACAAGGAUGAGCCUGCGGCUGAUUAGCUAGUUGGUGGGGUAAAGGCUUACCAAGGCGAUGAUCAGUAGCUGGUCUGAGAGGACGGCCAGCCACACUGGGACUGCGAUACGGCCCAGACUCCUACGGGAGGCAGCAGCAAGGAAUUUUCGGCAAUGGGGGGAACCCUGACCGAGCAACGCCGCGUGGAGGACGAAGUAUUUCGGUAUGUAAACUCCUUUUUGAUGGGAAGCGGUACCAUCAGAAUAAGCUCCGGCUAACUACGUGCCAGCAGCCGCGGUAAUACGUAGGGAGCGAGCGUUGUCCGGAAUUACUGGGCGUAAAGGGCGAGUAGGCGGUAUAGCAAGUUCGAUGUGAAAGCCUUCGGCUUAACCGGAGAGGGUCAUCGGAGACUGCUAAACUGAGUGCAAAAGAGGCUAACAGAAUUCCCGGUGUAGUGGUGAAAUGCGUAGAUAUCGGGAGGAAUACCAGUGGCGAAGGCGGUUAGCUGGGUUGUAACUGACGCUGAGGCGCGAAGGCUAGGGUAGCAAACAGGAUUAGAUACCUGGUAGUCCUAGCAGUAAACGAUGGAUACUCGGUGAGGGAGUGUGCCAAAGCAAACGCAAUAAGUAUCCCGCCUGGGGAGUACGGUCGCAAGAUUAAAACUCAAAGGAAUUGACGGGGACCCGCACAAGCAGCGGAGCGUGUGGUUUAAUUCGACGCAACGCGCAGAACCUUACCAAGGCUUGACAUCAGGUGCUGCAUGGCUGUCGUCAGCUCGUGUCGUGAGAUGUUGGGUUAAGUCCCGCAACGAGCGCAACCCCUAGUGUUAGUUGUCUAGCGCGACUGCCGGUAGGAAACCGGAGGAAGGUGGGGAUGACGUCAAGUCAGCAUGGCCCUUACGUCUUGGGCUACACACGCGCUACAAUGGCUGGUACAGAGCGAAGCGAGACCGCGAGGAGGAGCAAAACGCCAAAGCCAGCCCAAGUUCGGAUUGUAGGCUGCAACUCGCCUGCAUGAAGUCGGAGUUGCUAGUAACCGCAGGUCAGACACUGCGGUGAAUACGUACCCGGGUCUUGUACACACCGCCC
rnacentral:rRNA from 1 species